rnacentral:lncRNA from 1 species
AGUAAUGUAACUACCCUUACCCUCGGGGCGCGCCGAGCUCAGACCCACGCUCGCCAGGGCGUCCUCCCGUAGGAGCUCGGUCAGGUCGUAGCCCUUCCCGAGGGCUCGGAGAGAAUCCAGGGUCCUCUGCUCCCUCCCCGAGGGCUCGGAGAGCUUGUUAAGGGCCUUCAACCGAGGGUGUCCCCACCUCGGAUUAAACCUCCACGGCGCCUCAGACGCCAGAAAGAAAAAUUUCCCCUUCCACUCGUGUAUAGAGGAAGGGGCCCCGCGGAAGAGCGACAUACCGCCUCGGAAGGCAAAGUAUAGCCACUCCGCGUCCGCCGGGUUCUUCUUCAACAGAAAACACCGGCGGAAAAUACUCACUGA